rnacentral:rRNA from 1 species
CGCACGGUGAGUAACACGUGAGUGACCUGCCUUUUAGACUGGAACAACUUACCGAAAGGUGAGCUAAUGCCGGAUGAGUUAUAUAAGUGCAUGUUUAUAUAGGAAAAGUUGGGGAGACCUGACGCUGAAAGAUGGACUCGCGUCCCAUUAGUUAGUUGGUAGGGUAAUGGCCUACCAAGGCGACGAUGGGUAGCCGGCCUGAGAGGGUGGCCGGCCACACUGGGACUGAGACACGGCCCAGACUCCUACGGGAGGCAGCAG